UACGAAGGGUGCAAGCGUUACUCGGAAUUACUGGGCGUAAAGGGCUCGUAGGCGGACAACUAAGUCGGAUGUGAAAUCCCCAGGCUCAACCUGGGAACUGCAUCCGAUACUGGAUGGCUUGAAUUCGGGAGAGGGAUGCAGAAUUCCAGGUGUAGCGGUGAAAUGCGUAGAUAUUAGGAAGAACACCAGUGGCGAAGGCGGCUCACUGGCCCGGUACUGACGCUGAGGCGCGAAAGCGUGGGGAGCAAACAGG
rnacentral:rRNA from 1 species